UACGAAGGGGGCUAGCGUUGCUCGGAAUUACUGGGCGUAAAGGGCGCGUAGGCGGCGCUGCAAGUCAGGCGUGAAAUCCCCGGGCUUAACCUGGGAACUGCGCUUGUGACUGCAAGACUCGAGUACGGCAGAGGGGGGUAGAAUUCCACGUGUAGCAGUGAAAUGCGUAGAGAUGUGGAGGAAUACCGAUGGCGAAGGCAGCCCCCUGGGUCGAUACUGACGUUCAUGCACGAAAGCGUGGGGAGCAAACAGG
rnacentral:rRNA from 1 species